GGUGGCUCAGUGGUAGAGUGUUUGCCUUAUAUGCAUGAGGACCUGGGUUCGAUUCCUAAGCACCA
rnacentral:tRNA from 1 species